rnacentral:lncRNA from 1 species
UCAAGUUAAUAGAGAAUGAAAAGAAAGAGCAUUGAAAACCAGUAAUGAAGAUUUAUGAGCUAUCAUAUGCUAUAUCAUUCUUGUGUGGCUGGACUUUCAUUGAUGUUUUACGUACAUAUUUAUAUUGACUAUUUGAGCUUGUUGAUAGCCGGUUUAUGAUUUUAUGACAUGUGCAUUAAUUUCUUGUGGUUUUCAAAUCUAUAUUAUUAUUGUGUUGGUGUGGAUGUGUAGGGGUUCUUACUGGGCUGUAAAGCUCACCCCCUCUUCUUCUUUUUUUUUCUUUAUCAGAGUUGCAGGAUGCAUAGAUUUGGAUGGGAUGGGCGCAGAGUACAAGUACCAGAGUUAUUAGUUAGUUAGUUUGUUUAUCCUUCUUUGAUGUCGAUGAACAUUUGAAGACUUUGUAAUUGAACCAAUUUGUUUAUUUGGACAUAUCGGAUUUGUCUAUUUGAAUUAUUAUAUUAGUUGUAGAUUUAUUGGAAUUUUUGUUAAAUAAAUCUACCUCCAUCGUACCUCUUCUAUUUAGCCUUGUCCCUAUACAUAUUUGUGUUGGUAGAUAUCAAUCAGUUCAUAAGGGGGAAGAAAUUAACUAGGCACAAGGUCUAUACAGAAAAGAGAGCUCUAAGGUCAAGUUCUAGUGCUGGCCCGAGUUUAAUGGUGUUGGUCCAGUUAGAGUGGUUUUUGGCUUUAGUCCUCUCCAAGCAAAUAUAAUUAAUUAGAAACACAUCAAAACUCUUGAAUGUGAUCUGACUCUUUGAAAUUGAAAGAAGUAUGAGAUUUCUUCAAGUAGUGGAAAGGGAAUAAAAAGACCUCGUUCCUGGGAGAACAAGAGAUCAUGUCCUCCCUAAGUCCCAAGCACCUCCUAUCACAAGUAAGGGUAUUUUGAACGUCCGGUGGAUGUUUA